rnacentral:rRNA from 1 species
ACAAGUACCGUGAGGGAAAGUUGAAAAGCACUUUGAAGAGAGAGUUAAAGAGGACGUGAAACCGAUGAGAUGGAAACGGACAGAGCUAGCGUAUCUGGCUUGCAUUCAGCUUAUGCGGUCGCUGCCGAUGCGUCGCUGACCUCCAGAUUGGGGCUUUGACUAGUCGGUCGGUGGCUGUGUGGUGCAUUUGCAAGUGGAGUGCGUCGAGGCACUUGGGAUGGCGGAAUGAACUUGGCUUUGAGGCCAGCUUGCUGGUACCCGGGCCAGGGGAUUUCUGUUCGUUCUAGGUGUUUUACGGUAGAACAAGGCUUUGCGAGCCUGGUUGGGUGCCGAGCUGGGUGUCGGUGGCGGUCGCAUGCGACACGUACUGUGCCACCAGUUCGGUCCUGGCCGAGCUCACUCCCUGUUCAAUCUCGGCGUAAAAGCUGGUCAUCUUUCCGACCCGUCUUGAAACUCGGACCAAGGAGUUUAUCGUGUGCGCGAGUCAUUGGGCGUUGAAAACCCAAAGGCGCAAUGAAAGUAAAUGUAUCCAUCCGGAGCUGAUGUGCGACCCUGGUCACUGCGGUGGCCAGGAGCAGCAUGGCCCCAUCCUGACUGCUUGCAGUGGGGUGGAGGAAGAGCGUACGCGAUGAGACCCGAAAGAUGGUGAACUAUUCCCGAGCAGGAUGAAGCCAGAGGAAACUCUGGUGGAAGUCCGGAGCGAUUCUGACGUGCAAAUCGAUCGUCUGACUUGGGUAUAGGGGCGAAAGACUAAUCGAACCAUCUAGUAGCUGGUUCCUUCCGA